rnacentral:rRNA from 1 species
UACGUAGGGGGCGAGCUUUGUCCGGAAUUAUUGGGCGUAAAGAGCUCGUAGGCGGUGUGUCACGUCGGCCGUGAAAACCUGCAGCUUAACUGUGGGCGUGCGGUCGAUACGGGCAUCACUGGAGUUCGGCAGGGGAGACUGGAAUUCCUGGUGUAGCGGUGAAAUGCGCAGAUAUCAGGAGGAACACCGGUGGCGAAGGCGGGUCUCUGGGCCGAUACUGACGCUGAGGAGCGAAAGCGUGGGGAGCAAACAGG